UCUCCCAUUGAAAUAUCAUCUCCAGUUGUAAUCUGUCUCUGAAUGUCUUGCUUAACUUGUUCCAUGUAGGCAGCAAUUAAUUCCUCUUGAGAUAAACACCACCUUUUUUAAUAUGUAUUUCUUUGUAAUUUUAGCAAAAUGGCUUUCUUCUAUAAUAGGAAUUUCUGAAAUAUUUAUGCUGUAUCUGGUCAAAGCAGUCUGAAUAGAGUCCAAUAAUUCUUGACCAAUUAAUUUACCAUCUGGUCCUUUAGAAUUUAAUUUAGGCCAGAAUUUAACAUGAAAUCUUCUGAAUA
rnacentral:lncRNA from 1 species